rnacentral:snRNA from 1 species
AGAUGUGAGGGUGAUCUGGCUGUGAGACCUGUUACCCCAUGGAUGGCCAGGGUUGACUUGGCUGAUCCGGCUGGCUGGGUGGGAGUCCCCUUCCUCCUUCUCGCUCCACGUGCGUCCCUCCCAAAGUUGUGCACUGGCUCCAAGAGGAGGAGGACCCGUCUUUGGUCCAGGGUAUAUGAGUAGCCAUGCUCCCCUGCUAGACCUCCAAACAUACUCUCAAGAAUAAGCUAUAUUCUAUCACAAGGUUUAUCUUUUUUUUUCCAGCAGCU